GCUCGGACAUCCCAUGCCCGAGAUCGGACAAGAGCGGCAUGGCAAGAAGUAGCCGUUAAAUUAAAUAGCGAUGGAAGUGGCUGCAUUAAAAAUUGGCAGCAAUGGGCAAAGAUAUUUGAACCUGGGCCAAGUUCUAAUUUAAAUCUUAAUGUGCCAAAUAAUAUAUCUGAAGCACCGGAUGCUAUGGAUUUGAGCAUACAGGAAGAUGUUAAUGAAGACCUCCAGACACCAGAGUCAGAGAGUAUACUUCAGAGUCAUGUGGAAAUACUACCUGCACCUGAAGAAGCCACCACGACUACCACUGCAGCACUGCUCCAAACAGAGUUCACCCCUACAUUAUCAGAUGUGCAGCCAGGACCAUCUUCAAUCAGACCUAAUGCAGACUCACCACCUGAGGUGGCUCACAGAAGUAAUGCCCCAAUCGCGUCUUCAUUACCUCGAAGGCGUCGUUUGGUAACGGCACGACGUCGUCUGAUCCAACGCUCACCACCAUCACAAAGGCGUUCACAUAUGGCGAGCUUAACAGAACGUUUUAUUGCCAUUGAAGAGAGGCGUUUAGAAAACGAAAGGCUCCUUAUUGAGAACCAACAGAAAAUGUUAGAUGUCUUAAAAAAUAUAAGCGAGUCGUGGUCAAGGCAAACCCAAGCAUUGUAGGACUUAUGUGCAUCCAUCAGGCGAGGGAGUUGAAUGUCUGGAAUAUCAGUAUCAUCAAUCUGGGUAACUUUGAUUUACAAGGGUAACUUUGACAGUCAAGUCAACCACAAUUUUUUAUGUGGCAAUAUUUAGUGUAAAACCAUUAAAUUUAAUUUGCGUAUAUAACAAACUUUGUAAGCGAACUCUCUUCGAAAAACAGAAGCUGAACGAAUUUAAUGUCAAAAACGUCUUAAAAGUUACCGCGCGCAAUUGUUGUAUUUUCUUUGUGGUAAUCAUUUUAAAUAACUCAAAUUUUAUAUAUUUAACAUAUAGUAAAAGUUAUCAAAAAAAAUAUAAGGAUGAUCUGUCAAAGUUAUCCCAAUUGACUGUAAUUAAUAAAAUAAUUAAUUUUACAGUUUUAUUUUACUUUUAAGUAUGGAUAUUAUUAAAGUUAUUAAUUAAUUAAAAUUGUAGUAUAAGACUAGCCGUUUCCUGCAACUCCCUCUGCUAUUUUUUACUAUUUUAAUUUUUUUAUGUAGGGUAAAAAGUUAACAAAAAAUAUAAUAGUGUUAAUAUUAAUAUAAGAAACAGUAAUAUUAUUGUAAAAGUAGAAAUAACAAUUUGAUUUAAUUUGAUUGAUUUAAUUUAAUUUGAUUUAAUUAUAAUAAUUAUUAUUAUUAAAUAAUAAAUGUGAACAUAAAAAUAAUUCUUAUGUUUUAUUAAAAAAAACAAUUAUUAUCCAUACACUAAUUAUUAUGAAAUGAUUUCAUUAUAAAUAAAAAAAAUAACAAUGGCUGUCUAAUUGAUUAUGGUGAGAUACAUCAGUGAUACUAUCUGAACAUUAUUUUUAUUUCUGCAAGAAGGAAAAACAUUUUAGACAUACCGGGCUCGCCAUAAUUGAUUUACUAAAUCUCUCCUACUGGUACACCCACUCUGCAAGUUGUGGUGUGUGACAGGCUGCUGAGUAAGAAUCCCAAGUAAUCUAGACUCUUCGUCUACAUCAUGUUGGUCUAACUUAGGAGCUGGCAGGCCAGCACGAUUACAAAUAUUAUGUAAGACACAGCAAGCUAUCACUAUUUUUCCCACCAUGAUAGGAUCAUAGUGCAGCACCCUGUGAACUAAUAGACAUCGGAACCGCCCUUUUAGUAUUCCAAUGGUCCUUUCCACACUGUUACGUGCACUGCUAUGCAAAUGAUUAUAAUGACUCUGGAGUCCCAGGUUCAGGAUUACUGAAGGGAGUCAUUAGAUAACUCCUUUGAGGAUACCCUGAGUCACCUGCAAUUAAUGAAUGAAACUUAAAUAAAUUGCCAUUCUGUGAUUAAAAUGUUCUAUUGUAAAUAUUAUCUUACCAAGUAAAUACACAAUUUCUCCAUUACUAUUUAAAUUUUCAAUGUGCUCUUUCACUCUUGUGUUCGUUAAAACAAAACUAUCAUGUGUUGCACCCCCAAAAGUUACAUCCACAUGCAAGAUGUUCAGUUCAGCAUCAUUAAUCUGGAAUAAGUAAAUUAAUAGACAUUAUAUAAAGCUUUAGUAUUAUUUACACUUGUAAUAUUAUUUACCCAUACUUAAGAUAGAUUAACAACUAACAAUUAAAACAUUCCUGGCAUGAUAACCUUUACGGCAAUAAUAUCUUUCCUCAUUUUCUUUAGGACGUAUCAUGGAAACCAGGGUACCAUCGAUGCAACCUAACACCCCUGGGAUUUUGAAUUUCUCAUAAAACCUGUAAUAAGAAUUCAAAUUUCAAACACCGGCUUUUGUUCUUGUAAGACUAGAGUAACUAACUUAAAAGUCUUUUGAUAUUUACCUUGACUUGAGCACUUGACGCUCAUUGUGGCUUUGCGGGAAUCUAAUAUAUUUCCGAAUAAUAUUUAUAGUAUUCAUUCAGAGCGUCUAUCACUUCAUGAAUUGCUCUAGACGUAGAAGGUUGAGAUCUACAUUCUUGCCAAUAAUUUUUUGGUAACUUCCAUUAGCCAAAAAUGAUAAAGUGCAUACAUAAUAUCUGAAACGUAAGAUUUCAAUAAAAUUCUGUUAUGAUGUGGUUACCCAUCAUUGUCUCAUUGAUUAAAGAAAUCAUUGCUUGAAAUAGUACCCAAUAUAAUAGUAAAACAAACAAACCUUGAAGCCUUUUAGUUAAACCACUGGAACGUACUCGCGGACGCAUGUAAGAAGAUAAAUCACUUUCUAAUAUAUUAAUUAAAUCCUCAGAAAGCCGAUAAACAUGAAUAAAGUCUACAUCACGGGAUAUUGUUUUCAACUUUCUUAAUUGUUUCGCUAGUCGAGCUUUGUUUAGAUCAUCAAUUUUCUUAGCGUCUUCUAAUAAAUGUAGCUUUAUUAUUAAACGAGCUGCCAUUUUUAUUUGGAAUAAAUAAAAGGAACAAAACAGUCAAAAUUACUUGGAACACUAAAUAAAUCCAAGGAGUAAAGCGCAAAUAAUGUAGCUUUUAAAUUUGACAGAAUAAAUCGAGGCUGCGGGCGAGGCUAUGAGCGUCGUCGUCGCUGUUUUUUAUUAAGGUCGAUUUACAUCAAACGAGCGAAUGCUCAUUCUAUCCCCACUACAGCUAAUUCUUCUAGUGUAAACAGGCGUAGAGCAUUCCUUCGUUGUUCUUAGUGCGUUCGCAAAGAUUCUAUGGAAUAUUCUAAGAAUGCUCGCUCGCUUGAUGUAAACGGCGCAAGAGCGCGCGAACAGUUGCUUAGAGCGUUCUAGCGUGUUCGGAUGUGCUCGCGCCACUGAGCGGUCUCAUCGAAGCGUUUUAGUGUUCUAGCGAUUGCUUACGUAUCUUAUCGAUUAAGUUAUGGAUUGGUCUCAAGAAAAAUGUUUAUUAAAGAUAGAAGCCUACCGCAAUUUCAGAUGUCUGUGGGAUCCGACGUAUGAAAACUAUAAAAAUACAACUUACAAACAAGAUGCUUGGCGGGAAAUCGCAAAACAACUGGAAUGUAAUGUUGAAGAGGUACAAAAAAAGAUGGACUCGCUUCUUGCAUCUUACCGCCGGGAAAGGAAAAAACAAUGAGUACGAAGUCAGGCAGCGGUGCCGAUUGUAUUUAUAAUUCUAAAUGGUUUGCAUUUACAAGCAUGCACUUUUUGAUGGACAAAUAUAAACCGAGGAAAACAAUUGAUUUCGACACUAACCAAAAUAAAAACAUGGCUGAUGAGCAGGAGAAUGAGCGAAUUGGACAAGAAACUCCGGUAGUGGACCCUAAUGCAGAUACACAGUCAGAUUCAACAACACAUUCACAACCUGCAGCUUCAGUAGGGUCAAGAAACACCACACCACAAUGGCAACCAUCAACAUCACUGCAAUCUGGCCACACAAUACCACCAAAAAAAUCAAAACAUGAAGACCCUCGAGUAGCCGAAGCCUACCGUAUUUUAAAAGAUACACAUGAUUCAAAGAUAAGGGACAAGAGUCAAGCUUUUGGAAAUCAUGUUGCUUCAAAACAUCGCGAAUACUC